rnacentral:pre_miRNA from 1 species
AGUGGGAUAACUGGGUCAAAUGGUGGUUUCAUUCCAAGUUUUCUAAGGAAUCUCCAUACUGCUUUCCAGAGUAGUUGUACCAAUAUACAAUCCCAUCAGCAAU